rnacentral:rRNA from 1 species
UACGAAGGUGGCAAGCGUUGUUCGGAUUUACGUGGCGUACAGGGAGCGUAGGCGGUUGGAUAAGCCCUCCGUGAAAUCUCCAGGCUUAACCUGGAAAGUGCAGAGGGGACUGUUCAGCUAGAGGAUGGGAGAGGAGCGCGGAAUUCCCGGUGUAGCGGUGAAAUGCGUAGAGAUCGGGAGGAAGGCCGGUGGCGAAGGCGGCGCUCUGGAACAUUUCUGACGCUGAGGCUCGAAAGCGUGGGGAGCAAACAGG